CCCGUGACUCGGCGAGAAGUCCAUUGAACCUUAUCAUUUAGAGGAAGGAGAAGUCGUAACAAGGUUUCCGUAGGUGAACCUGCGGAAGGAUCAUUG
rnacentral:rRNA from 11 species